AUUGAACGCUGGCGGCAUGCCUUACACAUGCAAGUCGAACGGCAGCACGGGUGCUUGCACCUGGUGGCGAGUGGCGAACGGGUGAGUAAUACAUCGGAACGUACCUUAUCGUGGGGGAUAACAAAUUGAAAAAUUUGCUAAUACCGCAUACUACUCUGAGGAGGAAAGCGGGGGAUUCGUAAGUACCUCGCGCGAUUGGAGCGGCCGAUGUCAGAUUAGGUAGUUGGUGGGGUAAAGGCUCACCAAGCCAACGAUCUGUAGCUGGUCUGAGAGGACGACCAGCCACACUGGGACUGAGACACGGCCCAGACUCCUACGGGAGGCAGCAGUGGGGAAUUUUGGACAAGGGGCGCAAGCCUGAUCCAGCAAUGCCGCGUGCAGGAAGAAGGCCUUCGGGUUGUAAACUGCUUUUGUACGGAGCGAAAAGGCUCUCUCUAAUACAGGGGGCUCAUGACGGUACCGUAAGAAUAAGCACCGGCUAACUACGUGCCAGCCGCCGCCGUAA
rnacentral:rRNA from 1 species